rnacentral:rRNA from 1 species
CCCAGACAGCCAGGAUGUUGGCUUAGAAGCAGCCAUCAUUUAAAGAAAGCGUAAUAGCUCACUGGUCGAGUCGGCCUGCGCGGAAGAUGUAACGGGGCUAAACCAUGCACCGAAGCUGCGGCAGCGACACUGUGUGUUGUUGGGUAGGGGAGCGUUCUGUAAGCCUGUGAAGGUGUGUCGUGAGGCAUGCUGGAGGUAUCAGAAGUGCGAAUGCUGACAUAAGUAACGAUAAAGCGGGUGAAAAGCCCGCUCGCCGGAAGACCAAGGGUUCCUGUCCAACGUUAAUCGGGGCAGGGUGAGUCGACCCCUAAGGCGAGGCCGAAAGGCGUAGUCGAUGGGAAACGGGUUAAUAUUCCCGUACUUGGUGUUACUGCGAAGGGGGGACGGAGAAGGCUAUGUUGGCCGGGCGACGGUUGUCCCGGUUUAAGCGUGUAGGUGUGUGUUCCAGGUAAAUCCGGUUCACUUUAACACUGAGGCGUGAUGACGAGGCACUACGGUGCUGAAGCAACAAAUGCCCUGCUUCCAGGAAAAGCCUCUAAGCAUCAGGUAACAUCAAAUCGUACCCCAAACCGACACAGGUGGUCAGGUAGAGAAUACCAAGGCGCUUGA